UCCAUAUGUCCAUCCAUCUAUGGACAUGAGCAUGUUAAAGCUGGAAUAACUUUGCAUUGUUUGGUGGUGUAUGGAAACAUUCAAUGGAUCGGAAUAAGGUUCCAGUCCGAGGAGACAUCCAUGUCAUUGUUGUCGGCGAUCCAGGUCUGAGGAAGAGUCAAUUAUUGCAAGCAGCAGC